CCUGGCUCAGAGCGAACGCUGGCGGCAGGCUUAACACAUGCAAGUCGAGCGGGCGUAGCAAUACGUCAGCGGCAGACGGGUGAGUAACGCGUGGGAACGUACCUUUUGGUUCGGAACAACACAGGGAAACUUGUGCUAAUACCGGAUAAGCCCUUACGGGGAAAGAUUUAUCGCCGAAAGAUCGGCCCGCGUCUGAUUAGCUAGUUGGUGAGGUAAUGGCUCACCAAGGCGACGAUCAGUAGCUGGUCUGAGAGGAUGAUCAGCCACAUUGGGACUGAGACACGGCCCAAACUCCUACGGGAGGCAGCAGUGGGGAAUAUUGGACAAUGGGGGCAACCCUGAUCCAGCCAUGCCGCGUGAGUGAUGAAGGCCCUAGGGUUGUAAAGCUCUUUUGUGCGGGAAGAUAAUGAC
rnacentral:rRNA from 1 species